rnacentral:rRNA from 1 species
UACAGAGGUCUCAAGCGUUGUUCGGAUUCAUUGGGCGUAAAGGGCGCGUAGGCGGCGUUCCAAGUUAGGCGUGAAAGUCCUGGGCUCAACCUGGGAACUGCGCUUAAGACUGGAAUGCUAGAGGAUGGAAGAGGGUUGUGGAAUUCCCAGUGUAGAGGUGAAAUUCGUAGAUAUUGGGAAGAACACCGGUGGCGAAGGCGGCAACCUGGUCCAUUUCUGACGCUGAGGCGCGAUAGCGUGGGGAGCAAACAGG